GAUGAACGCUGGCGGCGUGCCUAAUACAUGCAAGUCGAGCGAACAGACGAGGAGCUUGCUCCUCUGACGUUAGCGGCGGACGGGUGAGUAACACGUGGAUAACCUACCUAUAAGACUGGGAUAACUUCGGGAAACCGGAGCUAAUACCGGAUAAUAUAUUGAACCGCAUGGUUCAAUAGUGAAAGACGGUUUUGCUGUCACUUAUAGAUGGAUCCGCGCCGCAUUAGCUAGUUGGUAAGGUAACGGCUUACCAAGGCAACGAUGCGUAGCCGACCUGAGAGGGUGAUCGGCCACACUGGAACGGAGACACGGUCCAGACUCCUACGGGAGGCAGCAGUAGGGAAUCUUCCGCAGUGGGCGAAAGCUUGACGGAGCAACGCCGCGUGAGUGAUGAAGGUCUUCGGAUCGUAAAACUCUGUUAUUAGGGAAGAACAAAUGUGUAAGUAACUAUGCACGUCUUGACGGUACCUAAUCAGAAAGCCACGGCUAACUACGUG
rnacentral:rRNA from 1 species